rnacentral:rRNA from 1 species
GACGAACGCUGGCGGCGUGCCUAAUACAUGCAAGUCGAGCGAGCGGAACUAACAGAUUUACUUCGGUAAUGACGUUAGGAAAGCGAGCGGCGGAUGGGUGAGUAACACGUGGGGAACCUGCCCCAUAGUCUGGGAUACCACUUGGAAACAGGUGCUAAUACCGGAUAAGAAAGCAGAUCGCAUGAUCAGCUUUUAAAAGGCGGCGUAAGCUGUCGCUAUGGGAUGGCCCCGCGGUGCAUUAGCUAGUUGGUAAGGUAAAGGCUUACCAAGGCGAUGAUGCAUAGCCGAGUUGAGAGACUGAUCGGCCACAUUGGGACUGAGACACGGCCCAAACUCCUACGGGAGGCAGCAGUAGGGAAUCUUCCACAAUGGACGCAAGUCUGAUGGAGCAACGCCGCGUGAGUGAAGAAGGUUUUCGGAUCGUAAAGCUCUGUUGUUGGUGAAGAAGGAUAGAGGUAGUAACUGGCCUUUAUUUGACGGUAAUCAACCAGAAAGUCACGGCUAACUACGUGCCAGCAGCCGCGGUAAUACGUAGGUGGCAAGCGUUGUCCGGAUUUAUUGGGCGUAAAGCGAGCGCAGGCGGAAGAAUAAGUCUGAUGUGAAAGCCCUCGGCUUAACCGAGGAACUGCAUCGGAAACUGUUUUUCUUGAGUGCAGAAGAGGAGAGUGGAACUCCAUGUGUAGCGGUGGAAUGCGUAGAUAUAUGGAAGAACACCAGUGGCGAAGGCGGCUCUCUGGUCUGCAACUGACGCUGAGGCUCGAAAGCAUGGGUAGCGAACAGGAUUAGAUACCCUGGUAGUCCAUGCCGUAAACGAUGAGUGCUAAGUGUUGGGAGGUUUCCGCCUCUCAGUGCUGCAGCUAACGCAUUAAGCACUCCGCCUGGGGAGUACGACCGCAAGGUUGAAACUCAAAGGAAUUGACGGGGGCCCGCACAAGCGGUGGAGCAUGUGGUUUAAUUCGAAGCAACGCGGAGAACCUUACCAGGUCUUGACAUCUAGUGCCAUUUGUAGAGAUACAAAGUUCCCUUCGGGGACGCUAAGACAGGUGGUGCAUGGCUGUCGUCAGCUCGUGUCGUGAGAUGUUGGGUUAAGUCCCGCAACGAGCGUAACCCUUGUUAUUAGUUGCCAGCAUUAAGUUGGGCACUCUAAUGAGACUGCCGGUGACAAACCGGAGGAAGGUGGGGAUGACGUCAAGUCAUCAUGCCCCUUAUGACCUGGGCUACACACGUGCUACAAUGGGCAGUACAACGAGAAGCGAGCCUGCGAAGGCAAGCGAAUCUCUGAAAGCUGUUCUCAGUUCGGACUGCAGUCUGCAACUCGACUGCACGAAGCUGGAAUCGCUAGUAAUCGCGGAUCAGCACGCCGCGGUGAAUACGUUCCCGGGCCU